rnacentral:rRNA from 1 species
GUUCCGGGGUCCGGAAUUUAGCCAUGCUAGUUGCACGGGUUCAGACUCGUAGCAUAUAGCUCAGUAACACGUGGCCAAACUACCCUACAGACCGCAAUAACCUCGGGAAACUGAGGCCAAUAGCGGAUAUAACUCUCAUGCUGGAGUGCCGAGAGUUAGAAACGUUCCGGCGCUGUAGGAUGUGGCUGCGGCCGAUUAGGUAGAUGGUGGGGUAACGGCCCACCAUGCCGAUAAUCGGUACAGGUUGUGAGAGCAAGAGCCUGGAGACGGUAUCUGAGACAAGAUACCGGGCCCUACGGGGCGCAGCAGGCGCGAAACCUUUACACUGCACGACAGUGCGAUAGGGGGACUCCGAGUGUGAGGGCAUAUAGCCCUCGCUUUUCUGAACCGUAAGGUGGUACAGGAACAAGGACUGGGCAAGACCGGUGCCAGCCGCCGCGGUAAUACCGGCAGUCCAAGUGAUGGCCGAUAUUAUUGGGCCUAAAGCGUCCGUAGCUUGCUGUGUAAGUCCAUUGGGAAAUCGACCAGCUCAACUGGUCGGCGUCCGGUGGAAACUACACAGCUUGGGGCCGAAAGACUCAACGGGUACGUCCGGGGUAGGAGUGAAAUCCUGUAAUCCUGGACGGACCACCAAUGGGGAAACCACGUUGAGAGACCGGA